AUACGUAGGUGGCAAGCGUUGUCCGGAUUUACUGGGCGUAAAGGGCGUGUAGGCGGAGCUGCAAGUCAGGAGUGAAAUCUAGGGGCUCAACCCCUAAACUGCUUUUGAAACUGUACCCCUUGAGUAUCGGAGAGGCAGGCGGAAUUCCAAGUGUAGACGUGAAAUGCGUAGAUAUUUGGAGGAAAACCAUUGGCGAAGGCGGACGGCUGGACGACAACUGUCGCUGAGGCGCGAAAGCGUGGGGAGCAAAAAGGAUUAGAUACCCUGGUAGUCCACGCUGUAAACGAUGAAUACUAGGUGUGGGGGGACUGACCCCCUCCGUGCCGCAGUUAACACAAUAAGUAUUCCACCUGGGGAGUACGAUCGCAAGAUUGAAACUCAAAUGAAUUGACGGGG
rnacentral:rRNA from 1 species